rnacentral:lncRNA from 1 species
UUCCGCUCGUUUCGACGGAACUCGGCACGAUUUACGAGGGAUGUGGUAUGUUACAUUCUCCACCCCUAAAAUUUAGUUUCGUCCGCGAAACUAACAAGUUUGAAAUUUAAAUUUCAUACAUCACUUCGGAUCCUCAAAGAGGUGAGGAUAAUGCUCCCUUAUUUCGCUUUCGAGCUCCCACGUUUCUUCCCGGUCAUUGUGUUCGCACCAAUGAACUUUAACAUACGGGAUUUCGCGGUUCCGAAGUUUUCGCACCUCCCGGUCGACAACAUAC